rnacentral:rRNA from 1 species
AUUGAACGCUAGCGGCAUGCUUUACACAUGCAAGUCGAACGGCAGCGCGGGCUUUGGCCUGGCGGCGAGUGGCGAACGGGUGAGUAAUACAUCGGAACGUGCCCAGUAGUGGGGGAUAGCUCGGCGAAAGCCGGAUUAAUACCGCAUACGACCUGAGGGUGAAAGCGGGGGAUCUUCGGACCUCGCGCUAUUGGAGCGUCCGAUGGCAGAUUAGCUAGUUGGUGGGGUAAAGGCCUACCAAGGCGACGAUCUGUAGCUGGUCUGAGAGGACGACCAGCCACACUGGGACUGAGACACGGCCCAGACUCCUACGGGAGGCAGCAGUGGGGAAUUUUGGACAAUGGGCGAAAGCCUGAUCCAGCAAUGCCGCGUGUGUGAUGAAGGCCUUCGGGUUGUAAAGCACUUUUGGCGGGAACGAAAAGGACUGUGCCAAUACCACGGUUCGAUGACGGUACCCGCAGAAUAAGCACCGGCUAACUACGUG